AUGAUACUCCCUCCGUUCCGAAUUACUUGUCGCACGUAUGAAUGUAUCUAGAUGUAUUUUAGUUCUAGAUACAUCCAUUUCAGCGACGAGUAAUUUGGAACGGAGGGAGUACAUG
rnacentral:pre_miRNA from 1 species